GCGGGAACUGGGGCCAGAGCCAGGGAGAUGGCCAGGAGAUAAAUGAUACUUGGAGCCAAGACACCAUGGUGCAGUUUCCUGGGGGUUGCUGUCCGGAUUCCAAAGCCGAAUUCCCCAGCUGCCUCAGACCCGGACCCUUCCUCCCCUCUCACUGAGCACAGCAGAGGUCAGAGCAACAGAUGUGGCUAACAGCACAAGAGGUGGGAUGUGGGGCUAACAGCACAAGAGAGAUGGGAUGUGGCUCCCAGGCCCCUGCAGCAGACCCACAUCUGGCUGCAAGGUGCUGGGGUCAGAGCUGGUUGCCACAUUAUCCUGAGGAGAGGGAGAAGAUUCAUCUAUGAUUCUCAGAGCAUCUGUAAGAAGCUGGAUUAUGGAAGCAUCCACCCAGCCUACUGCAGAGACACCCCUCAG
rnacentral:lncRNA from 1 species